CUUCUCAACACGACUGCUUUGGAGCAGUGGUUUUCAACUUUGGCUGAAUGAUAGAAUCAUUUGGGGAGCUUUUAAAAAUUGACUGAAAACACAGACCUUGGGGAACCCUGGAUAUCUCAGUAUGAGGAUGUGAGGAAGACUACUACAGGAUUUGAGCCUUGGUUUAGU
rnacentral:lncRNA from 1 species